rnacentral:lncRNA from 1 species
GUGAUUCUUUGAGAAAUUUAAAUUUUGGGACCAUUGACAUGGAGAAAGUCUGAUCACAUGUUUUCCAUUAGUUGGCUUUAGGUAGAAGGAUUAUGAUAGAAUCCGAUUUGUAGAUAUACUCGGUCAUGCUAAUUGCUUACCUAGUUGGCUUUAGGUAGAAGGAUUAUGAUAGAAUCUGAUUUUCUGUCUGAUCUCAAUCUUCGUAAUCUGGAUUCUCAUUUAAGCUCAUGAUAUCAUUUCAGAGUGAUAUGAACAGAAUUUCAGUCCUUAAAUCUACUGGAGGUUUCAAUCUCACGUUAGUACUUUCUUGAAAUUUUAUUUUUGACAAGCAUAUGAUAUUUUAUUGCUAACCAGCUAUUUUGUCUCCCUGUAUUUAUGUCAUAACUGUCUCCAGCAUGAUAUCUGCAAUGUGUGCUCUUGAUACAUUGCUUAUGAAUAUUGCACCUGUUGUUGCUCCCAAACUAUACCUUGAUUGUAAGAUAAAUAAGUUACUGUUGAUGAAAUU